ensembl:lncRNA
GGGGGGGGGGGUGUUAUUACAUAAAGGGUGUGACGGACGGCUCGUGUGUGUCCUGUGCAGAGGUGUGGGGGGAGAGACAGUGUUUGUCUGAAGCACCGUGAGCUCCGAUCAAAGGCUGAGGGGGGAGUGGCUGGUCCGUCUGGAGAACCGAACCAAACACCUGAAGAACCUCAAUGACAACUACAUGAGGAAGAUGAAGAUGGAGCCGUCAGCUGACCAGACCUGAGCCCCCGAUAACUCGCCGUAGAGCUGCUGAGCCAACAACCGCGUCUCCUCCUGCUGCUGUGUGAGAGAAAUAAAGAGCUGGAAAAUAGACGCGUCUGUGAUUCAUUCAGAGUCAGAGUUUGAACGUUCUGUUUUAUUUCCUGCAUCUCAAACACAUCAGUGCAUCAGAGCCAGCAGUGUCAGGCUGUGCUGAUUCUGCAGCAGGUGUAAAGAUCACUGAGACUCACUCUGAAGCCUCUGACCGCCAACAUGGCGCCAUCUGCUGGACAAACAGGAACAAACCUCGAGGAGGGGCUGAACGUUCAGUCCAGUAAAGGUGGGAACAUGAAGGAGUUUCCGACGCCGGCCACAUGCAGCGUGUGAACCAAUAAAUAAUCUAUAAGUGACCAUUAGUGACAAAACCAUCAGUCCCCUUCAACACCAGCAAACAGCAGAGCUGGGUCAGUGUUUGGAACGUAACUGAAAUAAAAACAACUAUUAAAUAUUUUAAAUUCACUCUUCAGUCAUUUCAAGUUUUCUCACAGCAGCUUCACAAAUACAAACUUUUUAAGUUUUCAGUUGUUUUUCUACAGAAGCAUAAAAAAGUUAAUUUUAUGAAUUAUUCUCUGCAGAAUUUAAGACUUUGGCCACCAGGGGGCGUUGUUUCUGUUUAACAUAUGUUUAGGAAGUCAUAGUGACUUUUUCCCCACCAGUGUUUUUUUUCUUUAUUUUGGAAACUUUAGACUUAUUUAUAAACACAUAUAUUUAAAAAUAAUGACAAUAAUAAUUUCUGCUUUUUUCUCUUUCCAGCAGUGCAGCAUGCAGGGGGGGCUUUAAGGGGGCCCCAGCUGUACCA